rnacentral:rRNA from 1 species
GACGAACGCUGGCGGCGUGCUUAACACAUGCAAGUCGAACGGAAAGGCCCUGCUUUUGUGGGGUGCUCGAGUGGCGAACGGGUGAGUAACACGUGAGUAACCUGCCCUUGACUUUGGGAUAACUUCAGGAAACUGGGGCUAAUACCGGAUAGGAGCUCCUGCUGCAUGGUGGGGGUUGGAAAGUUUCGGCGGUUGGGGAUGGACUCGCGGCUUAUCAGCUUGUUGGUGGGGUAGUGGCUUACCAAGGCUUUGACGGGUAGCCGGCCUGAGAGGGUGACCGGCCACAUUGGGACUGAGAUACGGCCCAGACUCCUACGGGAGGCAGAAGUGGGGAAUAUUGCACAAUGGGCGGAAGCCUGAUGCAGCAACGCCGCGUGCGGGAUGACGGCCUUCGGGUAGUAAACCGCUUUCGCCUGUGACGAAGCGUGAGUGACGGUAAUGGGUAAAGAAGCACCGGCUAACUACGUG